rnacentral:rRNA from 1 species
UACGGGGGGGGCAAGCGUUGUUCGGAAUUACUGGGCGUAAAGGGCUCGUAGGCGGCCAACUAAGUCAGACGUGAAAUCCCUCGGCUUAACCGGGGAACUGCAUCUGAUACUGGAUGGCUUGAGUUCGGGAGAGGGAUGUGGAAUUCCAGGUGUAGCGGUGAAAUGCGUAGAUAUCUGGAGGAACACCGGUGGCGAAGGCAGCUCGCUGGGACGUGACUGACGCUGAGACGCGAAAGCGUGGGGAGCAAACAGG